GUGCUCACUUUGGCAGCACAUAUACUAAAAUUGGAAUGAUACAGAGAAGAUUAGCAGGGCCCCUACAUAAGGAUAACAUGCAAAUUCGCAAAAUCAUGAAACAUACCUUU
rnacentral:snRNA from 1 species